UUUUCUAUAUCUUUUCAUUGAAGUGACCUUACUCUCAACUAUCUUAAUGGAACCAUCCCAAUAGAAUGGGGCACCACCCAAUUACUUGUAAACAUGUAAGUAGCUCUCUCUAUAUAUAUACUCCUUCAUUGAUCAAAAUGGAGUGAUACUAAUGUUAAUUGUAAUGCAGUUCGUUAUAUGGAAAUCGAAUAAGUGGAGGAAUCCCAAAAGAAUUGGGAAACAUUAGCACACUAAAAAAUCUGUUUGUAUUCAUUACCCCAUUUUCUCUAUGCAUAUCAAACUCAUGGUUCAGUUUUUGUCUUAAUGUGGUUUGAGAUAUGGUUAUAGGUGUUUGGAGUUCAACCAGCUAUCAGGGAUCAUCCCUUCAGAACUCGGUAACCUCGCUAGUAUAGAAAGCAUGUACUUCACCUCGAAUAAUUUAUCUGGUCAACUGCCACUAGACCUUGGUAAAUUGAUCACAAUGAAGGACUUUAGGAUUGGUGAUAACAAUUUCACUGGAAAGAUACCCAAUUUCAUCAAGAACUGGUUGAAUCUCACAACACUGUGAGAUGCUAAAUCUCAAAUUUAUUCAUUUAUAUUUCUUCCAUCUAAGUAUGUUUUUGAACAAAAACUAAAAAAAUGCAGAGUAAUUCAAGGUAGUGGCCUCGAGGGCCCGAUCCCUAAUGAGGUCUUUGCAUUGAC